GUAAUUCAUUACGAAGUUUAAUUCAUUGAGCAUCAAACUUUUAAAUUGAAGAGUUUGAUCAUGGCUCAGAUUGAACGCUGGCGGCAGGCCUAACACAUGCAAGUCGAACGGUAACAGGAAGCAGCUUGCUGCUUCGCUGACGAGUGGCGGACGGGUGAGUAAUGUCUGGGAAACUGCCUGAUGGAGGGGGAUAACUACUGGAAACGGUGGCUAAUACCGCAUAACGUCGCAAGACCAAAGAGGGGGACCUUCGGGCCUCUUGCCAUCAGAUGUGCCCAGAUGGGAUUAGCUUGUUGGUGAGGUAACGGCUCACCAAGGCGACGAUCCCUAGCUGGUCUGAGAGGAUGACCAGCCACACUGGAACUGAGACACGGUCCAGACUCCUACGGGAGGCAGCAGUGGGGAAUAUUGCACAAUGGGCGCAAGCCUGAUGCAGCCAUGCCGCGUGUAUGAAGAAGGCCUUCGGGUUGUAAAGUACUUUCAGCGGGGAGGAAGGUGUUGUGGUUAAUAACCGCAGCAAUUGACGUUACCCGCAGAAGAAGCACCGGCUAACUCCGUGCCAGCAGCCGCGGUAAUACGGAGGGUGCAAGCGUUAAUCGGAAUUACUGGGCGUAAAGCGCACGCAGGCGGUCUGUCAAGUCGGAUGUGAAAUCCCCGGGCUCAACCUGGGAACUGCAUUCGAAACUGGCAGGCUUGAGUCUUGUAGAGGGGGGUAGAAUUCCAGGUGUAGCGGUGAAAUGCGUAGAGAUCUGGAGGAAUACCGGUGGCGAAGGCGGCCCCCUGGACAAAGACUGACGCUC
rnacentral:rRNA from 1 species